AGCACAUUGUUUUAACCAUGCAACAACGCCUGGAUGUUUUGAAGGACUUAGAUACCACAUCUGUAUCCGCGAUUGCAAAAAAGUACGGCGUGAACAGAAAGACAAUUCGUCGAAUAAUAAACAAUGCACCCAGGAUUCACAUGUUCGCGAACAAGAAUAAGCGAGAGAAAAAACGACGAAGAAUAGUGGAACCAGUUUAUAACGAACUGGAUGAACGUUUAUUAACGUGGUACAUUGAAAAAAGGACACUUGGGGAUAAGAUAACGGACGCUUUAAUGCUUGCAAAAGCUACGCAAAUAAAAGAAGACUUACCAUCGUGUUCAAGUUUCAAGGCCAGCCACGGCUGGUUGGCAAAAUUUAAAGCACGCCACAACAUACGUUUGGUGCGUCUGUAUCACGAAGAAUCUAAUGCGGAGGAAGAGACGGCAGAAAAUGAAAAUCAGCAAAUUAAAGAAGAAGGAACUUCUCCAAAAGAACUCCAGGAGAGUUUUAAGUCUGAAGAAAUGAUGGAGGACCACAACGAUGAAGCAACAAAAACGGAGCUAAUAAAUAUAUUCGAAAGACUCACAUUUUAUAGUGCUAGAGCACCAGCGCAUAUUCAAUGCAUAGUGAAAGGGCUGAAAAUAUUUUUCUUGGAUGAAGAGCAUUAACUGGAAGGUAACACCACGUGGGCCGGCAACUAUGUACAGUCAUGGAUAAAAUAUUGGAACUGACAAAUAGGCUUUGCCCUUGCCCCGCACCUCAG